rnacentral:rRNA from 1 species
UACGUAGGGGGCUAGCGUUGUCCGGAAUUAUUGGGCGUAAAGCGCGUGUAGGCGGUUCGAUUAGUCUGCUGUGAAAGUCGGGGGCUCAACCCUGGAAUGCCGGUGGAUACUGUCGGGCUAGAGUCCGGAAGAGGCGAGUGGAAUUCCUGGUGUAGCGGUGGAAUGCGCAGAUAUCAGGAGGAACACCGAUGGCGAAGGCAGCUCGCUGGGACGGUACUGACGCUGAGGCGCGAAAGCGUGGGGAGCGAACAGG